rnacentral:rRNA from 1 species
UACGUAGGGUGCAAGCGUUGUCCGGAAUUAUUGGGCGUAAAGAGCUCGCAGGCGGUGUGUCGCGUCGGCCGUGAAAACCUGCAGCUUAACUGUGGGCUUGCGGUCGAUACGGGCAUCACUGGAGUUCGGCAGGGGAGACUGGAAUUCCUGGUGUAGCGGUGAAAUGCGCAGAUAUCAGGAGGAACACCGGUGGCGAAGGCGGGUCUCUGGGCCGAUACUGACGCUGAGGAGCGAAAGCGUGGGGAGCGAACAGG